rnacentral:tRNA from 1 species
GAGGGUACAGCUCAAGUGGUAGAGCGCGUGCUUAGCAUGCAUGAGGUCCUGGGCUCAAUCCCAGUACCUCCU